UUUAUUGGGUCCGAGCCCGAGACGUACGAUAACACAGGAUGUUCACGAUAACCUCAAAUUUGGAGACAACUGAGAAUUCCCAAGUGAAUUGACUACCGUUUUACUCCGGUAACUAGCACGAAGGAAUCUUGUGCAUUUUCGUAGGAGCCCUUGGCUAUCUAGGACGCAAGUUUAAGAUGUGUACAGGGAAAAGUUCUAAGCGGUUUAUUAGAUGACAGAGGCAUCUUCGAUUGCUGCUUUUAUGCCUGAGGUACUUGUCUUUUCUUCACCUAGGAUAAUUAAGAAAAUAUGUAUUCAUCCAUAGACUUUUCAUGUAGUCCACGCCAUUCCGAACUUUUUGCGGUGGAAUCAGUUCCGGUCUCGGGAUCAUUUAAGAUACAAUUUGAGGAUCAUUUGCAGUUCGGGGUUCAUUUGCGGGCCUGUACAGGUCAGUCACAAGCAUAUCAGGAAAGCCAAAGAGGUGAACUCUAAGGUAAAUUUUUCGUUCUCCACGAGUCUUUCGACCGCUGAAACACACGUAUCUAGAAUGAAAUUUAUUGGGCUUUAUGGAACUGUUGGUUUUAUUGCGAUUCGGGACUUUUCCUUUUGGGGAGAGAGCGAUUUGUGGAGUGACGUCUGGCCAGCGAUCGAUAGAGUGGUCUGCCUUUCCCUUCUUUUAGAAGGAGAGACAACGAUUUCGAAUAACUUCAUUAAACGCCGGCAGAAUGGCUUCAAAAUCGGCACAAGAAGACACGUACGCGACACAUUUGAGGCAAAGGGAAGAGCACAGAGGAACGGUAAUUUCCUCUUCCCAACAGUUCAUGCCCACAUCUCGUGCGCUCCGCAUUUCUCGUAUCGAAUAGCUUCUUUACCGAAAAUCAAACUGGGUACCAAAGUGGAGUCGCCGUGAAGAGAAAUGGUCGCAUUUCCCCACAACAAUCACUGAUGACUUGCCUUCGGCUGCGUUCGGGUAUAUGUACUGAGUUUAUUGAAUGAUUAUUUUGCUUUUUAGUCUAUAGAAGUACAUAGGGUAAUUUAGAGACGACGAGGGACAAAAUCGCUGUAAACAAUUUACAUCAGAAAAGAUUAUUAAAUGUAUUGUGCUCCAUAUGAUUUUCCCAUCGUUAUUAUGACGUCCGAGGUCGUUACCUUAUUUCUGGAAGGUCUCUAAGACUUGCUAAACCUUAAAAUUUUAUCCUUUAUUCUCCGGUGCUCGCUACUUUAGGGACUGACAAGAGGUAACUGUUACUUUCCGGAAUUGAAGGGUUGCACUUGAUGACAGGAAAGAACAUAUAACUUUCUAGAGAUUUCCCUAAAGCAAAGAACGUUAGGGAUGCCAUAACAUGAGGAAUAACUACAUUCCCGUUUCAAUUUCAUGGAAUCGUGCGUAAGCGAAAACACCUCGAGUUAAAGAUCAAUAAGUCCUGUCAAAAAAUAAAGAUCGAACGUGCGAAUACUUUAUUCCUCCUCUAAGUUAGCGUAAUUCUUGUUUGCUUAAGGAAACAAACUCUAAUUAAUUUGCAGUUACCUUCCGUGAAAGGAAUCUCGAACACUUAUGACAAGUGAAUAACCAGAACAAUGAGUAAAAAAUCCACAGCCGUGAUUGUGCUUUAACCAAAAAGUAUGCAGUAGAUACCUGGAAUAUUCAUCAUUUUUUAUUAUUACAAUUUCGAAUUCAUCAGUUUUAACAAAUUCGAGUUACAGUACCAGCCUUCCUUAUAUUAGAGUUGAUUAAAUUUAAGGACACGG